rnacentral:lncRNA from 1 species
ACAUUAUCAAAAGUAUGUUGUGUUCCUUCUUUACGUAGACGUGAUUCUGUAAGUAGCUCAUUAAGAGAGCUGAUCUCAUGUUCGUGUUUUCGCUUUAAUUUUUCAAUCUGUCUGUGAGCCUUUUCAGUUUCUUGUUCUGAUUCCAUUGCCCGCUUCUGCAAUUAUUUUAUAACAGAAGGAUAUAAGAACAAUGCUAAAAUUUUCAACAAGUCUGAAGCUCAUGAAACCAAGGGAACAAUUUAAUCAAAAUCCCAAAUGAAGUAAUAUGUUCAUCCAACAGCCUUACAAUUUGAAGCAAACAAUAUCAAGCACAGAUUCUUUUUACUGCAAAAAGACAGCAGAACUACGUUCUAGACUUUUGGCCAUCUAAAGUCUUAAAUCCCAGCCCUUCAGCAAAAAGAAAGAAAUAGAAUUUUAUGACUCAGGAAGAGACAUGUUCUAAACUUGAGGUAAAAAGAUCUGAUUCAAUAGUUGUAGCAAGAAGUUAACUGAAAUCACAUUAAUUUGGUGGGGG